rnacentral:rRNA from 1 species
UACGUAGGGGGCAAGCGUUGUCCGGAUUUAUUGGGCGUAAAGAGCUCGUAGGCGGCUCGACAAGUCGGCGGUGAAAACUCGGGACUCAACUCCGAGGCGCCCGUCGAUACUGUCGAGCUUGAGUCCGGUAGGGGAGUGUGGAAUUCCUGGUGUAGCGGUGAAAUGCGCAGAUAUCAGGAGGAACACCGAUGGCGAAGGCAGCACUCUGGGCCGGCACUGACGCUGAGGAGCGAAGGCUAGGGGAGCAAACAGG